CUGGUUUUAGUAGACAAAAAUACCCUCAUAUAUUAUGGAUUCUAAGUUUUAAAGUUAAGGGUAUUUGAAUAAUUUUCAUUCUCAAAACUAAAAAAAAGGAAAAAAAGAAACCUCAAACCCUUACUCACCUCCUUCAUUCCUCUCAACCCUUUCUCUUUCAUCUCUUUCACUCCAACCUUUUCUCUCUCAUCCUAUGAUAGAUUCAAC
rnacentral:lncRNA from 1 species